rnacentral:sRNA from 1 species
CUAACUUAUGAAGAAGGGAUGAUGGGUGGCCGAUGAAAAACUAAUCUUAUGUUCCAAAGUCUGAAAUCGAAACAUUUCAUGCUUACGAAUCUAGGAUUAGUCUGCCCAUUUUCCAUAGCGACAGGAGCUGUUCCCACGGGAAGGCUUUGUUUGUUGUUGUUUUCGUGCGGCUAAUCCUUCCAGGAAUCUGGGAGGAUUUUUUG